GCCCGCCUAGCUCAAUCGGAUAGAGCGUCAGACUCUUAUCUGCAUCUGUGGCCAGAGGCGAUCUGAAGGCUGCGAGUUCGACCCUCGCGGUGGCUA
rnacentral:tRNA from 1 species